rnacentral:rRNA from 1 species
GACGAACGCUGGCGGCGUGCUUAACACAUGCAAGUCGGACGGAAAGGCCCUGCUUUUGUGGGGUGCUCGAGUGGCGAACGGGUGAGUAACACGUGAGUAACCUGCCCUUGACUUUGGGAUAACUUCAGGAAACUGGGGCUAAUACCGGAUAGGAGCUCCUGCUGCAUGGUGGGGGUUGGAAAGUUUCGGCGGUUGGGGAUGGACUCGCGGCUUAUCAGCUUGUUGGUGGGGUAGUGGCUUACCAAGGCUUUGACGGGUAGCCGGCCUGAGAGGGUGACCGGCCACAUUGGGACUGAGAUACGGCCCAGACUCCUACGGGAGGCAGAAGUGGGGAAUAUUGCACAAUGGGCGGAAGCCUGAUGCAGCAACGCCGCGUGCGGGAUGACGGCCUUCGGGUUGUAAACCGCUUUCGCCUGUGACGAAGCGUGAGUGACGGUAAUGGGUAAAGAAGCACCGGCUAACUACGUG